rnacentral:rRNA from 1 species
UACGAAGGGGGCUAGCGUUGCUCGGAAUCAUUGGGCGUAAAGCGCACGUAGGCGGCCUAUUAAGUCGGAUGUGAAAGCCCCGGGCUCAACCCGGGAAGUGCAUACGAAACUGGUAGGCUUGAAUAUGGAAGAGGGUCGCGGAAUUCCCGGUGUAGAGGUGAAAUUCGUAGAUAUCGGGAGGAACACCAGUGGCGAAGGCGGCGACCUGGGCCAAUAUUGACGCUGAGGUGCGAAAGCGUGGGGAGCAAACAGG